GGGGCUGAUAUUAGCUUUCGACAAUUGGAAUUUAACAGAUUGGUUUGCGAGCAGAUGACAACUUUAUAGUCAAUUUUAGAUGCAAAAGAUACUUUUGUAGCUAAAGUCAAAAGCUUUUUCCAAGCUCCUUUGACUUUGGCAUCAGCUACAGCCCGAGUUUAAUCUCGGAUUAGCCGUCUUGCCGCAUAGACAACAUGCUGCGGUGGGGCGUCAUAUUUAUGUUGUGUAGCUCCGUGCAGCUUUUGCGACUGCAUGGCAGCGAAAACCUUUCGCAAAGUUUUGAUAGAUUGGCUUUGUUGGUUUCCAUGAAUCUCUCAAUUCGGAAUUUUGAAAUCAAACAGGCUUCGUAGACAACUAAUCCGUUACCAUUUGGACGCGGGGGCAGUACCCGCCAGCUCCACCA
rnacentral:tmRNA from 1 species